rfam:Gossypium hirsutum cultivar TM-1 chromosome 17, whole genome shotgun sequence
AUCCCAUGAUGAGGAGACUUACGAAGCAAUUCUUUGAAUCUUUCCCAUGCUUCAUAUAAAGACUCGUCAUUUAAUUGUUGGAAAGUGGUUAUCUCAUUUCGUAACUUU